rnacentral:rRNA from 1 species
UAAGGAAUAUUGCGCAAUGGACGAAAGUCUGACGCAGCAACGCCGCGUGCAGGAUGAAGGCCCUUUGGGUUGUAAACUGCUGUAGCAGGGGAAUAAGACCACCUUUUGGGUGGGUGAAGGUACCCUGAAAGUAAGCGCCGGCUAACUACGUGCCAGCAGCCGCGGUAAUACGUAGGGCGCAAGCGUUGUCCGGAUUCACUGGGUGUAAAGGGUGCGUAGGCGGGAAGGCAAGUCAGAGGUGAAAUCUCACGGCUCAACCGUGAAACUGCCUUUGAUACUGCUUUUCUUGAGUUAGGGAGAGGUCGAUGGAAUUCCAGGUGUAGCGGUGAAAUGCGUAGAUAUCUGGAAGAACACCGGUGGCGAAGGCGGUCGACUGGCCCUAAACUGACGCUGAGGCACGAAAGCGUGGGGAUCAAACAG